rnacentral:rRNA from 1 species
UACGUAGGGCGCAAGCGUUAUCCGGAAUUAUUGGGCGUAAAGAGCUUGUAGGCGGUUUGUCGCGUCUGCUGUGAAAAUCCGGGGCUCAACCCCGGACUUGCAGUGGGUACGGGCAGACUAGAGUGUGGUAGGGGAGACUGGAAUUCCUGGUGUAGCGGUGAAAUGCGCAGAUAUCAGGAGGAACACCGGUGGCGAAGGCGGGUCUCUGGGCAACAACUGACGCUGGAGGAGCGAAAGCGUGGGGAGCGAACAGG